rnacentral:rRNA from 1 species
AUUGAACGCUGGCGGCAUGCUUUACACAUGCAAGUCGAACGGUAACAGGCCGCAAGGUGCUGACGAGUGGCGAACGGGUGAGUAAUGCAUCGGAACGUGCCCAGUCGUGGGGGAUAACGCAGCGAAAGCUGUGCUAAUACCGCAUACGAUCUAUGGAUGAAAGCGGGGGACCGUAAGGCCUCGCGCGAUUGGAGCGGCCGAUGUCAGAUUAGGUAGUUGGUGGGGUAAGGGCCUACCAAGCCGACGAUCUGUAGCUGGUCUGAGAGGACGACCAGCCACACUGGGACUGAGACACUGCCCAGACUCCUACGGGAGGCAGCAGUGGGGAAUUUUGGACAAUGGGCGCAAGCCUGAUCCAGCAAUGCCGCGUGCAGGAAGAAGGCCUUCGGGUUGUAAACUGCUUUUGUACGGAACGAAACGGCCUGGGUUAAUACCCUGGGCUAAUGACGGUACCGUAAGAAUAAGCACCGGCUAACUACGUGCCAGCCGCCGCCGUAA